rnacentral:lncRNA from 1 species
AAAGAAGAGAUAUGAGGAGAUACCACCCCCAACUCCUUUGCUUAGCACUUCUAAUGCUUGUAAAAUACUCCAGAUAAUGUCAGCCUUUUCCAGUGUCUCAGCCAAAUUCCUGGGUCUAAGGCUUGACUAAGGCAAACUCAGCUCAUCAAAUCAGAUAAAGGAUCUUCCUUCCCCUGAGGAGUUCUGGGGAAGUCCUCAUGCCCUCCUACAGAAAUGGAAAAUGGGAAAAGGAAAGGACCUCCUUAGCAUCUUUCAACGACAAAGCAAAAUAAGGAAAUGAAUAUCUGCCCAGAUCGCCCAGUCCAAUCAAUUUUCAGGAUCCAUGGCAGCUCUGGAUUCAUCGUCUCUAGUGAUUCUGAGUGUAACAAGACAUUUUCCUAUCUUAUACACGUGACCCUAUGUGACCCCAGUGUUUCUACCUUUUACCCAGCUAGUAGUCUCUUGGCUUCAUUCCAAAAUUUCAAAAAUAAAGGCUGCAAAUUAUAAC